GCGCGAGAGGAGCGGCCGAUGCCGGAUUAGCUAGUUGGCGGGGUAACGGCCCACCAAGGCGACGAUCCGUAGCUGGUCUGAGAGGACGACCAGCCACACUGGGACUGAGACACGGCCCAG
rnacentral:rRNA from 1 species